UACCCAAAAGAAUAAGUCCACCGGAAAACUUACCACCACCUCCACCUCCAUUACCACCGUUUCCAUCAUUAUCUCGAGGGGGCAACCCCGGGCCAUUGUCAUCAAGUUUAGGGGACUUCACUUUCUCUGUCAUCCCAAACAAAGCGUAUCAUAUUGAUUGGCAUUGAACACAUAAGGUGUUCCAAAUAGAAGAAAGGCACAAGAUAGCACUAUCAAACAUGAUGAAAAUCUUCAAUGGAAUUUCUAAAAGCACAUGUGAGAUAAACUAUAACAAAUGGCAAUACCCAAAUCUACAGCAGGAAGCAAAACGCCAAUUGCACUCCUUGGUAUUCCAGAAAACAAAGACAUAACCAACAGUUAGGAUCAAGAAAAGAGCUUACAGAGGAAGUUCAAACCUACACCAAAGUGAAUCAAAUAUAACAGAAAUUCUCACAUCUCGAAAGAAGAAGAAGAAGAAGAAGAAGAAGAAGAAGAAGAAGAAGAAGCAAUAAUAAUAAUAAAAUAAAAUGUUCUGUGCAAGAAUAACAUUGACGGCGCAAAAACAACGUAAACAUAAACCCUGAAAAUAUUGUUUAUACGAUUUUUCCACGUGAAA